CCCUCCCCACUUACACACAGGAGACACACACACGAGUACCACCGACCUCCGGAGCUGUUAGGACUCCUUCAGUGUGCACACUGCUGCAAAAGAGCUGACCCAGACACCGCUGUCUUUCCCUCGUCGUUUAAACUCGCUCUAUCUCUCUCUCUCUCUAUCUCUCUCUCCUUCCUUCACUCCUACCCGCGCUCCCUCCUUCCUCUCUCCCUCUCUCCAUUGCGCACUUAAUCGCAUCUUUGUUUUAUCUUCUGGCUGCGCACUCAGUGGCUCGAGCUGGUCAUUCGGCGUUUGAGGAAGGGGGGCUUACCCCUUAGUCAGGCUCGAAAACCAUUAACGGUGGGAUUAGAUGCAAAUAUUAAAUCCCCCCACCCCCCUCCCCCUCAUCUGUGGCCAUUACACGUUCAACUUUGUUCUUAAUGGAAUUAGCUGGUAUGAGAAGGUAUAAAGAAGUCAUUUUAACUGAAUUGAUUGUUGUUCUUGGGUUCAUAUUUGAAAGAAAUAUUUUACUUUUAUUUUUUUUUUUGUUCCCAGGAGCUGGCAACCUACCUCAGUCAAAUGUAGCAAACCUGACAGGAAAAUUACUUUUGGGGUGGGGGGGGGGGAGGGGGGGGACAGGAGGCAGUAAUUGACUGGAGUUCUGCUUCUGGUUUAACACUGGAGAGAGAGGGGUUCUGUUGAAGUUCUUAUUCUGUGUUUCUUUUUCCCCCCCUCCGCUGGUGGAGGUGAGAACAUUCGCUUUGUCAGUAGGGGCGUCGCUCGCCGUGGAAUUUCAGACGUGAAGAUCGAACGCCCUCGGGGGGCUUGCGUCUCUCUCUCUCCUUCCCUCCUCCGUUUCUCUUUGCGCCGGGCCUGGCCGCGAGGGGGGGGGGGGCGGAGUUACCGAAAGAGAGGUGCGCUGCUGCAUUUGACACCAUUUCGCUGUGGACUGCCUGCGACUGCGCAGAGGCGUGCGUGACUGUUUUACCCGGAGGACACGCGAAAAGUAGGUUAACCCCUCCAAGAGGUCAAUGCUCUACCUUCAGCAGAAACUCUUACGGCAAAAAAAAAAAAAGAGAAUCAUGCUUCAUUUGAGCACUGUCCUAAUCCUUAGAAUUCUAGAACCUUUUUUUUUUUUUGGUUUUUGUUUUCUCGGUCUGGAAUGCAGUAAUGUGGAAGAGCGGAUCGCAGGCUGUGGGGAGAGGUGCCACAGCACCGCAGGGGCUAGUUUUUACUGUGCCAUUUUUAUCCGCUCACAGAAGUGUGAAGUGCUGUUGUUUUUUUUUUGCUGAGUGCUGUACAGUGAGCGUAGACCUGAGAAAGAGAGGACGCCGGAGUUAAGGUGUUCUAGAAUCAUCUCACUGGAGUGAAGGUUCUAGAAUCAUCUCACUGGAGUGAAGGUUCUAGAAUCAUCUCCCUGGGGUGAAGGUUCUAGAAUCAUCUCACUGGAGUGAAAGUUCUAGAGUCAUCUCACUGGAGUGAAGGUUCUAGAGUCAUCUCACUGAAGUGAAGGUUCUAGAAUCAUCUCACUGGAGUGAAGGUUCUAGAAUCAUCUCACUGGAGUGAAGGUUCUAAAAUCAUCUCACUGGAGUGAAGGUUCUAAAAUCAUCUCACUGAAGUGAAGGUUCUAGAAUCAUCUCAUUGGAGUGAAGGUUCUAGAAUCAUCUCACUGGAGUGAAGGUUCUAAAAUCAUCUCACUGGAGUGAAGGUUCUAAAAUCAUCUCACUAGAGUGAAGGUUCUAGAACCACCUCACUGGUGCCUGCAUGCUGUGUCCUGCAUCUUUUGGGGGGAUGGGGGAUAGGUCUUUUUUUUUUUUUUAAUCCAUAAAGCCCCCCCCCCCCCCCCAUUCUGAAGUACUCAUUCUGAAAUAUUCCAUUCCGUAUUCCAUUGUACGUUGUUGCCAAUGCACUUGUUUUGAUCGAGUUGCUCUUACGGGGGGUUUUGCUGGUCGCUCAUGUAGCCUGAAGUGCGGUUAGCCUCAUUUUCUCUUCGGCUGUCGCGGUCUGGAUGAAAAUCGCGGCGCUUUGCUGUCCCUGUGAUUAGAAUUCACAGAGUGAUUUUCAUUGGUGAAAAAUACUUCUGGCUCCAUUCUGCUUUUGGUUUGUUUUGUAGUCCAGGCGAUUUUAUUUUAACCUGCGUCCUGUUUGGUAAAGGUUGUUUGGCGCCUGGCAGCAGCUAAAGCCCGUAUGAGUAUACUGAGCGGUGGAUAACACUGAAAACACUGCAGAACUUGAGUAUUUAUGCAAAGGGGGGGCGGGGCGGGGCGGGGCGGGGAGUGUCCUGUGCUUGGUAUAGGCCCUGGCCUGGGUGUCUUGGUUUUGCGUUUUUGCUGGUAGAGUGGGUAGCGGAGGGAAUUGCAGAUUAUUGAGCUGAGCUGUAUUACCCAGAAAAAGAUGAAUGCUGUGAUGUUUGGGAAAGGAAAAACGUAUCUUAACGCUUGAAAUGGAGAGAACUUCCUCGCAGAUUUUUUUUUGUUUGUUAUUAUUUUUUUCUCUCUCUCUCUCAGAAUUCAGAGGAAGCGGUAUUUAUUAAUUGAUAAUUGUUGUAACGUGUCUA